AUUUCCAUUCUGCGACGCUGUCAAUUAGCGGUGCGCCGUAACGUGCCGGCGGAUUCGGCAAGGCGCGCACCGCGAAUCGUCGACUUCGCCGCUUGUCAUUUCCAUACGUUUUCACGUGCGAGACCGCGUUCAAGCGGCGGCAAGCCGUCAACGGAGGAUUUAUGUCCAUUUCUACCAAUGCAGAUUAAUAUGGGUUAAUUCAACACUCUCUUUAUCCUUUUCUAAUUUUUAGAACUAAAAACAGGUAAAAAGAUGCCGGGCCGAAGAUAGGCUAUGCUCUCGCCGAAUAAUGGAUGAUGAAACUCUGGGAGCUUCCUUAGGGUCCAAAGACGGACGCGGGUUAAAUUUUCAACGUGUCAACUGAGAUUGUUACAAGCCGCGGAUUGGCGUUGGCGAUUCAGCGAAGGCAGGCCGCACGACGCAAUCCCACGAUCAAUGCGAAAACGCAGGAGAAAUUAUGAUAUUCAUUUGCGCGCGUUACGCACGAGUCCUAUCUGUUCCGAAAUCCCGCAUGAUUGAAAAGGGCUCCAUUGACUGAUUACGAAUUAAUUACGAUUGACUAAUUGCAAUUUAAAGUAUGCAGUCCCAUUAAUCGAUUCGUUGUGUAAUUCAUUUACUCGUGAAUUAUUAAUUAUUUAUCUCAUUUCGGACUUUCAAUAAUUGAUCGGCUAACGAAACAAGUAAAAUCGCAAUUAUUUGUCCGGCGGCCGUUAUUAAAAUAAUACCCGGCUUAAUUUGAGUAAUGUUGAUUAUAUACAUUAUAAAGACAUCAUUGCCAUUAAUAAAACGCGUACAUAUCUGUCAAUAUUCUUCCUAUUGACGAAAUGUCCGGCUAUAACUGUACUUUUUCUACUUAAAUAAUGUAUCUAUUUCUGCAUCAGAAGUUUGAUGUAAAAAUUUUA